GCUCGUUCAUGCCCACGUGGUUGGAAUAAUUAUGGAAAUCGCUGUUUCAUCUUCCAGAAUAACCAAACUGACUGGGCUACUGCUGAGCGUGCCUGCAUUGGAUAUGGUGGAAAUCUGGCCUCCAUCCACAACAAGGUGAACUCACUUUCCUCCAGAAGCUGAUCAGAUUUGAGAAAGGAUCGUACCAGAGGACCUGGCUCGGAGGCUAUGAUGCCGUCAAGGAGGGUGUGUGGCUGUGGAAUGAUGGGUCAAAGUUCAGCUUCACCCAGUGGGGCAAGGGGCAACCAGAUAACUCUGGUGGAAAGGAACACUGCAUGGAGAUCUACGAGCUAG